UACGGGGGGGGCAAGCGUUGUUCGGAAUUACUGGGCGUAAAGGGCUCGUAGGCGGCCAACUAAGUCAGACGUGAAAUCCCUCGGCUUAACCGGGGAACUGCGUCUGAUACUGGAUGGCUUGAGUUUGGGAGAGGGAUGCGGAAUUCCAGGUGUAGCGGUGAAAUGCGUAGAUAUCGGGAGGAACACCAGUGGCGAAGGCGACUACCUGGCCUGUUCUUGACGCUGAGGCGCGAAAGCUAGGGGAGCAAACGGGG
rnacentral:rRNA from 1 species